AUACGGAGGGGGUUAGUGUUGUUCGGAAUUACUGGGCGUAAAGCGCACGUAGGCGGACUGGAAAGUUGGGGGUGAAAUCCCGGGGCUCAACCCCGGAACUGCCUCCAAAACUUCCAAUCUAGAGAUCGAGAGAGGUGAGUGGAAUUCCAAGUGUAGAGGUGAAAUUCGUAGAUAUUUGGAGGAACACCAGUGGCGAAGGCGGCUCACUGGCUCGAUACUGACGCUGAGGUGCGAAAGCGUGGGGAGCAAACAGGAUUAGAAACCCUUGUAGUCC
rnacentral:rRNA from 1 species